rnacentral:rRNA from 1 species
UACGGGGGGGGCAAGCGUUGUUCGGAAUUACGGGGCGGAAAGGGCUCGUAGGGGGCCAACUAAGUCAGACGUGAAAUCCCUCGGCUUAACCGGGGAACUGCGUCUGAUACUGGAUGGCUAGAGUUUGGGAGAGGGAUGCGGAAUUCCAGGUGUAGCGGUGAAAUGCGUAGAUAUCGGGAGGAACACCAGUGGCGAAGGCGACUACCUGGCCUGUUCUUGACGCUGAGGCGCGAAAGCUAGGGGAGCAAACGGG